rnacentral:rRNA from 1 species
UGGGGAAUAUUGGACAAUGGGCGAAAGCCUGAUCCAGCAAUGCCGCGUGAGUGAUGAAGGCCUUAGGGUUGUAAAGCUCUUUUACCCGGGAAGAUAAUGACUGUACCGGGAGAAUAAGCCCCGGCUAACUCCGUGCCAGCAGCCGCGGUAAUACGGAGGGGGCUAGCGUUGUUCGGAAUUACUGGGCGUAAAGCGCACGUAGGCGGCUUGGUAAGUUAGAGGUGAAAGCCCGGGGCUCAACCCCGGAAUUGCCUUUAAGACUGCCGAGCUAGCAGGUGAGAGAGGUGAGUGGAAUUCCGAGUGUAGAGGUGAAAUUCGUAGAUAUUCGGAAGAACACCAGUGGCGAAGGCGGCUCACUGGCUCAUACUGGACGCUGAGGUGCGAAAGCGUGGGGAGCAAACA